rnacentral:rRNA from 1 species
AAGACCUUGCGCUUUUGGAGCGGCCGAUGUCUGAUUAGCUUGUUGGUGAGGUAAAGGCUUACCAAGGCUUCGAUCAGUAGCUGGUCUGAGAGGACGGCCAGCCACACUGGGACUGAGACACGGCCCAGACUCCUACGGGAGGCAGCAGUGGGGAAUUUUGGACAAUGGGGGCAACCCUGAUCCAGCCAUGCCGCGUGAGUGAAGAAGGCCUUCGGGUUGUAGAGCUCUUUCAGCCGGAACGAAACGGUUACGGUUAAUACCCGUGACUACUGACGGUACCGGAAGAAGAAGCACCGGCUAACCACGUGCCAGCAGCCGCGGUAAUACGUAGGGUGCAAGCGUUAAUCGGAAUUACUGGGCGUAAAGCGUGCGCAGGUGGUUUUGUAAGUCAGAUGUGAAAUCCCCGGGCUUAACCUGGGAACU